rnacentral:rRNA from 2 species
UACAGAGGGUGCGAGCGUUGUUCGGAAUUAUUGGGCGUAAAGCGCUUGUAGGUGGCUUGUUAAGUCCUGUGUGAAAGCCCUUGGCUUAACCAAGGAAGUGCGCAGGAAACUGGCGAGCUUGAGUGCCGGAGAGGGUCGCGGAAUUCCCGGUGUAGAGGUGAAAUUCGUAGAUAUCGGGAGGAACACCAGUGGCGAAGGCGGCGACCUGGACGGACACUGACACUGAGACGCGAAAGCGUGGGGAGCAAACAGG